AAGGCUUAUACAAUACAAGAUGCUUCUUGCCCUUCUAGGAGGAAUCCUCUACUGAAAUGGAACAACAAAUGACAGUUCCUGUUGUUCCAGUUUCUUGCCAGCACUGGUGUUGAUGUUUUGGGUUUUAACCAUUCUAAUAAUGUGACCCAUGCAGACGGUUCUCUGCUUUUGCCAUGAGACCGCAACUGAGCUGUUGGAGAAUGAGACAUGAGAAACCAAGCUGCGUCAUUGCAGUUGUCCCAUCUGUGGCCGUCACAGAAACAGAAUUCU
rnacentral:lncRNA from 1 species